GGAAGAAGCCCCUGUCAAUUAGCCCACUUUUCCUAAGAACAGUGGGCUGUUAUCUCCUGGCAAUGAACUUCAAAUAUUACAGCAGAAUCUUGGGUGUUAGUGAGCUGGCCUGUGGGCCAGCUGGAAGACUUGGCCUUGCCAAAAGUUGGGUCUGGACUGGCCCAGCACUGCUCUGUUCAGGACCCUCAGAAGGACUGGAACUGUACUCCAUCUUAAUGUCCCUGGUCCUCCUCUUGAAGGGUGAGUCCUGUCUCCAUCCUGACUGACCCCUAUGUGACAAAUGUCACUUCAUUUUCAAUUUCAAGGAUCCAGAUCCUGUGACCCAUGAAAUUAUAAUUGUUCUGACUGGGAAUGUGGAGAGUUUUAAUCAGAAGUUUCCAGAUUCUGGCUGAAGGGCUCUAUCGGGUCAUGUGGUCAAUCCUUCAUAAAGUCAGGACCCUUCUACAAGGUAGCCAUCAGUUCUUGCAUUCCUCCCUAAUCUAGGGGUUCAUUCUUUCAAGAAUACCCUCCUGAGCUCCAACUGUUUGGAAGACAUUCCUCACUCUAAGCUGGGUUCUGAUUCCCUAAAACUCUCCCUAGAUAUUCUGUUGACUUCUGAGACCACCAACUCCAUUUUCCACUUUGUUUCAAGAUGUCCCUGUAGAGUCUUUGGAACCAGGUCCUGGUAGGGGCAAAAGUGCUGAAUUUUUAAAACCAGUGAUGGGAGAAGUUGAGACCCACUCAGAUGACAUCAGUAGACCCUCAGGGCACAAAAAGUUCACCAGAUGUGCUUGAAAUUGGGGCGGGGAGCAGGAGGGCAGCAUGCAAAACAAGAAUCAUGAUUUCCUGCUCAAAGUUUAUACCCAACUAAACUAUCCACCAAGCCAAGUAAUAAAGAUAUUUUUAAAUUUGCAGGUUCUCAAACAAAUUUGCCUUCCAUACUCCCCAUUACCUAAAAUUUCUGGAGAUACAUUUGAUCUUUAUGAGAAAGAAAGCCUAAAGAGGAGGGACUGGCAUUCCUGGGUAUGGUGAUGAGUUUCAUGUCAGCUUGACACAAGCUAGAGUCACUGGAAAGGAGGAAACUUCAAUCGAGAAAAUACCUUCAUAAGAUCUAGCUGCAGGGUAUUUUCUUAUUAACAAUUUGAUGUGAAAGAGUCCAGCACAUUGUGGGUGGUGCCAUCCCUGGACUGAUGGUAUAGGGUUCUAUAAGAAAGCAGGCUGAUCAAGCCAUGGAAAGCAAACCAGUAAGCAGCACCCCUUCAUGGCCUCUGCAUCAGCUCCUGCUUCCAGGUUUCCAUCCUAUUUGAGUUCCUGUCCUGACUUCUUUCAGUGAUGGACUAUAAUGUGGAGGUGUAGGCUAAAUAACCUUUUCUCCCCAAAUUGUUUUUGGUCAUGAUGUUUCAUCAUAGCAAUAGAAACCCUAACUAAGACACUGGAGGUACAGGUGUGCACCAAAGAGGGAAAGGAAACCACCAGACUGACCUACUCUAGGUUGCAGCUGAGAAGAUACAGUUAGCCUCUGAGCAUCCAAUGGGUGUCCUGACAACCUUCUAGACUCCAAACUGAAUGGUUAGCAAGGAUAGAUGUCCCACUAAAGAUAGCAAGCCCAAGACAUCAGCUUCAGAGGUAAGUCCAUUGGAAGCAAGGAAAAAUUAGCUGUUUAUUCUAAACAGUUUAUGGAUGUCAUGGUGACCUAACAAAAGCAGUGCUCUCAUUGGUGGGACCCUUUGCUAAUGGGGGCAGGCACAGUCCUGGCAAAGUUCUCCUGAAUCACAAUGGAAAGCUGAUGAAACUCAAGCUGUGGCCUGAUAAAGCCUCUGAGGUACAGAGGCCAAUAAUAUAUGAGCUUGCAUUCAAACUUUUAUUUUUAGGAGGCCAAUUUGUUAAGUUCUUCUCUUACAAGCUUGAGUGUCUGAGUUUGGGCCCCAGAAUCCACAUUUUUAAAAAAAUUAUGUAUGUAUGUAUGUAUGUAUGUAUUUAUUUAUUUAUUUAUUUUAUGUAUGAGUACUCUGUAGCUGUCUUCAGACACCCCAGAAGAGGCCAUCUGAUCCCAUUACAGAUGGCUGUGAGCCACCAUGUGGUUUCUGGGAAUUGAACUCAGGACCUCUGGAAGGGCAAUCAGUGCUCUUAACUGCUGAGCCAUCUCUUCAGCCCCCAGAACCCGAAUUUUAAAAAGCCAGGGAUGGCACUUGUAAUCCCUGGGACCAGAUACACAGUUGGCUUUUGUUGUUCACAACUGGACUCUAUCUAGAGCAGUGGUUCUGAACCUUCCUAAUGCCAUGACCUUUCAUACAGUUCCCUCAUGUUGUAGUGACCCCAACCAUAAAAUUAUUUUUGUUGCUACUUUAUAACUAUAACUUUGCUGCUUUUGUGAAUCUUAAUGUAAACAUUUUCAGAGAUAGAAGCUUGACAAAGGGGUGGAGACCCACAGGCUGAGAAUAGAGAGAGAUGAUUGGCUGGAGCAGGAGGAGCAGGGUGACACCCCCAAGCCACUGCAUAAGACCACUCAUGACUGUCUGUGUGGCAUGGGACUAACAACCGGUAGCUGGUCAGCAAGCUGUACUCAAGGGCACUUUGUAAGUCCUACAGUUUGGAGAUCCUUGCUGCCAUGCGGGGGUCCAAGCUGCAGGCAGCCCCAGGGCCUCAGUUUCUUCCUACCUGGGUGCAGGGGCCUUGGCUCAUCCACAGCCACCAACCAGACAAGCUGAGGACCGCUGGGUAUCCACUCCUCCCCCAGGUCAGGGUUUAUCAGGUAUCUACUGUCCGUGAGCUAUCAAACCUUCUGGACUCCGCUAGCUUAUCUGCAGAUAAGCUACUGUCUCUAGCAGUCUCUAUACACGAUCUUUGUGUGAAUCAAAUCAGAUAAUGGAUUAUUUGAAAACAGACUGUGUGUCGAUUUACGGGACUAGAAAGUGUGUUUGUGAGAAUGAAUGAAUACGCAAUAUAUCUCUGUAAUCCCAGAACCUGAGACAGGACCAAACACCAGACAAAUACUCUGUAAACAGAGGGAAAUGUGAGCUGUGACCAAUCAGGGCACUGCAAUUCAUUCAAGCCACAGGGAUUGGCUGAUGGAUCAAAUAGCGGCAGCCAUGAACUGGUCCAAGCGAGUCCAGGGUUUUGGGCAGCUACAAAGAGAUUAAGGUCCUACUCUGCACUUCAGACAUAUAUGUGUGGUGGAGCUGAAUAUUGCCAGAAUGACUGAGCUCAUUCAUCACACAAGUUGGGAAGCUUCCCAAGAGUGGGCCCCAAGGAGGAAGCAGACCCCAAGCACAGAAAACAAAUAGGGUUUGCUGGUAGCUCUGAAUCUUCAGUUAUAUGCAGUCCUUUUUCAUUUUUUCCUGGAGACGGUUUGUGACUCCUGGUUGAGUAGAUACUAGGGCAUCCAUGGUCUACUUUGUUUCUCUCUCUCUCUCUCUCUCUCUCUCUCUCUCUCUCUCUCUCUCUCUCUCUCUCCCUCUCCCUCUCUCUCUCUCUCUGUGUGUGUGUGUCUUUUUCUCUCUCUCUCUCUCUGUGUCUUUCCUUCUGUUUCUCUCUGUCUCUCUCUCUGCUUUCUCUGUUUCUCUCUCUCUCUGUCUCUCUCUCUGACAAGAUCUCACUACACAGCCCUGACUGGCCUGAAACUCAUAGAGAUCUGCCUGCCUCUUCCUUCAAGGCUAGUUUGCUUUCUGUGGCUGUAAUAAAACCCCAUGACCAAAAGCAACUUAGGAAGGAAAUAAUUUGUUUGGGUCACACUUCCACAUCACAGUCCAUCAUUGGUGGAAGUCAGGGCAGGAACUCAAGCAGUAGCAGAGGCAGGAACUGUGGAGGAAUGCUGCUUACAGCUCUCUCCUAAUGGCUUGCUCAGCCUGCUUUCUCAUACAACCCAUUAGUCAAGAAAAUACCCCUACUGACUUGCCCAUAGUCCAAUCUGCUGGUGGCAAUUUCUCAGUUGAGAUCUCCCAUCCCCAGAUGAAUCUAGCUUAUGUCAAGUUGACAAAACUAAUUAAUCUCCACAGUGAUCCGAACCUAUACAUGGCAUUGCUCCUGCUGUGUGGAAGGUGUGGGGUGUGGGAGGCAGCCUUGGUUUUGCAUGGAGGUAACGUCACAGUAUUCCCUUUACUCUGGGAAUUUAAAGGUAACCAGAAGGUUUCCCUGCUCAUGGCAUGCUGUAGAGAUUUUCCAAAAUCAACACAGAGGUGUGUAGACUCACCCCAAGCUCCGCCACGUAAUGUGCCCUCUAAUCUUAGGAGAAUCAUCUCACUGGAGAGGCCCUGCUUGGCACUGACAUGUCUAAGCAGUUCUCCUUCAAGCCAGAGGGCAUCAUAUUAGCUCAAAGCAGUCCACAGGACACCCAGCAAGAGCAUCCAGGACAAGGAGGGCCGGAGCAAACCAGCAUGGGGAGGCAGACACUGCCAGUUGGAACUGAACAUCCAUGUCCUGGGUCUGGCUGCUCUGUGCUCAGAAUAUCCCUGCUAGGUUGGCUCCCAGAGGACAAACAAAACCCUGAAAUCAGCAUCUCCCUGGAGAGCAAAGGGGCAGGACAGGCAGGGAGGACUGUGCUGCAGUGUGGGCUUUGGAGAAGGAGCACCAGGCUCAGGGCACCUUGGUGUAGCCCAAAGCUUGAGUGAGAGGUGUGUCUUUAACCCUAGUCCUGGCCAGUCACUAGAACCAUACUGCCCCCAAGCAGAUAUCUGACCCUUGGGGAGCACCCCUUUUUAUUCAGUGUUGUUUUAAGAGUGGGUUCAGCACACAUCUCUUCCAGUGGUGAGGAGCCACAUCAAGAAUCUGUGGGUGUGUCCAAGGUACCUCUGAAAACCCAAACCAGGAAGGAGAUGUGAAGUGGAAACUUAAGGGUUCUUUGGAUGGUUGGAUGGUGUUUUGCUAAGGCAGACUCGUGAAGGAACAUUUAGCUGAAGCAGACACAGAUGAAAGGAUGUUCUGCUAAAGAGAGCACGUGAAAGGACACAUGAUGAAGGCUUCUUCGCUAAUGGCACACAUGUAUUGGUCCGCCUUACACUGUGUAGUUGAGCUGCGUUUGUUGGGACUCCUUAGGGAGAAACACACCAAAUAACUUUUGGUGGUGUACUGCAGUUUCUUGUCACUUCUGCAGACUUGGGCUGAUUGGCAGAGUGAUGUCAGCUGAGACAGACCCACGUGCUGAGGCAAGACCCGAGGAGGACAUGUCAUGUUCGGAGGAUAUACAUAGGCAUAAUGGACAGUGACAGAGGCUGAGCUGGGCUUGCUUAUAGAGCUUCCUGUGCAAUGCUUGUGGGUCUCACAUCUUCACUGAUUUUCAUUUCUCUGAGAGAGGCACAGCCAAGAACUUCUUCUGGCCUACCUCUUGGUCCCUUCUGCUGACUCAAGUCGAGGCUGAGGCCUAGCUGUCUAGGUAGUGCCACUGCUGAUAAGUGUUUGCCAUCCCGACUCUACCGAACGGGACUGCUGGUGUAUCUGUGUAGUGCAUCGAGCUGCCACUGCCAACCUAUGAACUGAACUUCCAGACAGCACAGACAGGAGUUGCUCCAAAGAACCUUUCUAAAUAGGUCCACUUCCCACAUAUCCUUUCUUUCCCACUAUCUCUGGUAGGUGGUGGGCUAAAAGGAAGGUUAAGACCUUUAAGAACUAUCAUUAAAAACAAAGUUUGAAAAAAUUAAAGUUACAGAGAGUGUUUCUCACUCCUUGUCUGCUCCCACUUUCCUUGCGACCCUUGGCCAUGCUCUGAGAGGAACUUAGAGCACUGAGAGAGCAUUCUCCUAUUCGAGUCCAUAGGACCCUAACAACUGGGACAAUGGCUGGAGAGCAUGUGGAAAGAGCCAAACCUGCUAGCUGGGUCACCUCUCACGAUGUCCAUGUUGAGGGGCAUACAGGAUGUAGUGAGGUCCUCUAAUCCCCAGCGAUCCCUCACAUUCUUAUCCCAAUGAUCAUAACAUCUACCAUGUCCCCAGGGUCCCCAGAACUCUACAUGUCCUUGAACAUGGCUGAGGUUCACCCCAGGCAUCUGGGUGUUUCCCUAUCAUGUGGCCUGGUGGGAGUUAGUCCAUGGGGUGAGGUGGACCCUUCCAAUGGGACUUGGAAGUUAUAUCUUCACUUGACCUCCAAGAAAAGCUUGUGACACGUGAUGAUGAGUUCUCAGAAGCCCAAACUCCUGUGUUUGGCACGUGGAUGUCCCAUCUCCCCUCUGUCACUGGAGAACAGUGGGACCCUCAUCUCCAACCAGAUCUAAGUACAGCCUGCAGAAGGAGCUCCCAGGUGUGGGGAGGUGUAGUCAGUACCUCUCACUCUCAGACUUCCUCCGGCCUCUGCGGGAAGCCUGGCUGUGCCAACUAGCACGUGUGGCACAGUGGCCUGGGUUGCAAAAUAUAUCCGGCAUGGCAGUUGGUGAAGUUAUGCAAUCACCCCCAACUUACGGAAACCACCUUGUGGUGCUCCUGCGGAGCAGAGGUGGAUGGCCGGGCCACUCGGCUGGCUGCAAGCCUAAAGUGGUAGUCGGCUUCUUAUAGGUCCCAGACCAUCCAUCAGAGCUCACCUUAUGGAUGUGGAACCAACCAUUGACAGGGCUGGAGAGCAUGGUCCGAGGAGCUGUGGUGGCCAGCUGGAGACAGGGUCGUGCCAGGGGUCAGUUGUCCCCGUUCUUGGGUGAGACAACAAGCUUCAGAACGAGGCUCAGGUAGCAAACAGACUUAGGGGAGAGUCCCUCAGAGCCCUGUCCCAGCUCCAUAUCGGACUUUCUCCUAUUCAGAGCUCCCAUAGCAGGAUAAAAUGAAGAUGCGACAAGUUCAUGGUGCGAGAGAGAAGCCUGAUCCAAUCUGCUGACAUCCUGGGAAUCAUCAAGGCAACGUCAGGACGUGUCCUGGACAGCCAUGCCUACCACAGCUAAAUGGUCAGUCAUUCCCGAGAAGGCUGUUUGGCCUAGCCAGUGGGAUUCUGGAACUAAGCGAGGGUCACCCCAGCCUCUCCAUAUCUUCCCACAAGGAAAGAGUGGUCCUAAAUGGAAUAAAGCCCAAGUUAUCUAGAAUGGGACGCCAGCUUUGCCUCGCCCUCAUGCCCUGGGUUGUCAUAGCAUUUUCUGCUCUCAGUUCUCUGAGGUUGAGGCAGAUCAAGGACGUGAGAGGAAAAGCUGACUUUGUUCCAGUCUCACCACCCAGCCACACGUUCCAGCCCCAAGACUGGGAGAAGUGCCCUGGUAGAAAUCCAGCCCUCUUGGUCUCCUCAUCGCGACUGAGGGGUGAUUCUGUGUGAAUUCACACUGGACACUGUAUAAGACAACUGCACCUUGCUCUUCUGCUCUACAGUGUAUCUGAGGCCAACUUGGUAACACACACAGAGCUGCUCUGUCUGCCUCAGCUCCUGGGUUGUUUAGUGAGUGGAUGUGUCAGGGCUUGUUGCACCCCCUCCCCCAGGACUGGACACAAGGUGACUGCCAUCGUCUCAGUCUGACAGACAAUGGAGUCUUCACCACCUUUCAGCACUUACAAAAGUUGCCUUGGAGACCCCCAACUCUGGAGUCCCUCUGUCAAAUAGGAUACGGGUUUCUUAGUUUAAUGGCUAUGGGAAGAUACAAAUUCAUUAAGAAACAAAUGCAUUUUUCAUAGUUUAUUUUGUAAUAAGCUUCUUUCUUGUGCGUAUGCUUUAACACUUUACUCAUGUGGCAGCAUACAUCAGAUCUCAUCUCUCUACAUCUGAGUAACAGUCUCUUGUAUGGAUGAGAUAAUUAGAUGUAUUUUGACCUUUGUUUUACUGCCAUUAAAUCUUGUUAAGUAUGAAGUUGUCUUAUUUAUUUUUGUUAUUUUUAGUUACAUGUAAGCAUGUGUGUCUGUGGGGUGGGUGUACGUCCAUGUGAGUCCAGGCACUCAACCAUGAAGGCCAGAGGCAUUGGGUCGCCGGCACUGGAGGUGCAGGGU
rnacentral:lncRNA from 1 species